AAAAUGCUUUGCAGAGCCUCGUAAAUGAGCAUUCAGCAAGCUGCUGUGGAGACCUCAGCACCAACUGGAGCACAGCCCUCCCACAUUUCUCCUUCACCCCCGCCUCCUCGGGUGGGCGUGCACCUGCUAAAGCUUUACGAUACAUCACAGAGCGAGGAGAGAGGGAGAACAACAGCCCCAAUUACAUGGGCAGCUUUUCUCUCUCUAAACAGAAGAACUAGCUGGACUGGAAGCUGGAUUUAUCCAAUGUCACUUGGAGAAAGAAAGAGAGAAGGCAAAGAAAGCUUCAGAGGAGAGCAGAGAUGAACAACAAGUUGAUACACUGACAGUAAGAACAUAAUUAUAAAAAUAGUUGUCAACCUCUGAGUCCCUACACUUAAAAUGCGCCAGGUAUUGUAAGUGUCAUUCUAAACCCCAUGAUAACCCUUUGCAGUGGGCAUUAUUAUCCUUUCCUUUUUUUUUUUCCUUGAGGAGACUGGGACUCAGAGAAGUUAGGUGAUUUUCCUCAAACUAGAGAACUCGUAAGCGGGAGCUGAGAUGAGAAUUCUGGUCCUCUGAUUCUAAAUCCCAAAUUCACUCUUCUAAGCUAUUUCCCAAAGUGGGAGAUCGUUUUAAAGAGGAAGCUCUACCAACAUCAAAUCACCUCUGGCCAGUAUCAUCCGCUAAUAUCAUCAGCAAAUGGCACUAAUACAACUCCUGAAUUCUAAGAGUCACUUUCCCCUCGACAUUUCAAAAUUUCUGAAACUGGAUUGUAACUUCCACCUGACUGUACAUUCAACGUCUUUCUUUUUCCUUCUUCAAUGCAUCUCACACCUGAUUUCUCCUUGGAAUUGAGUAAAUAUAAUGCUCACAGGGGAAUUAGGGCCAGUCAAAAUUUUAGAAGUAUGUCCCCAAAUAUACACCUCUCUACAUAUCAUUGGCUUUGAAGUCAUUUCUCUUUU
rnacentral:lncRNA from 1 species